GGGGGCAUAGCUCAGCUGGUUAGAGCGCCUGCUUCACACGUAGGAGGUCACAGGUUCGAGUCCUGUUGUCCCCACCA
rnacentral:tRNA from 6 species